rnacentral:rRNA from 1 species
CCUACGGGAGGCAGCAGUCGAGAAUCAUUCACAAUGGGGGAAACCCUGAUGGUGCGACGCCGCGUGGGGGAAUGAAGGUCUUCGGAUUGUAAACCCCUGUCAUGUGGGAGCAAAUUAAAAAGAUAGUACCACAAGAGGAAGAGACGGCUAACUCUGUGCCAGCAGCCGCGGUAAUACAGAGGUCUCAAGCGUUGUUCGGAAUCACUGGGCGUAAAGCGUGCGUAGGCUGUUUCGUAAGUCGUGUGUGAAAGGCGCGGGCUCAACCCGCGGACGGCACAUGAUACUGCGAGACUAGAGUAAUGGAGGGGGAACCGGAAUGCUCGGUGUAGCAGUGAAAUGCGGAGAUAUCGAGAGGAACACUCGUGGCGAAGGCGGGUUCCUGGACAUUAACUGACGCUGAGGCACGAAGGCCAGGGGAGCGAAAGGGAUUAGAUACCCCGGUAGUC